ACACGUAGGGGGCGAGCGUUGUUCGGAAUCAUUGGGCGUAAAGGGCGUGCAGGCGGUCCUGCAAGUCCGGCGUGAAAGACCCCGGCCCAACCGGGGGGACGCGCUGGAAACUGCGGGGCUUGAGUACAGGAGGGGAUGCCGGAAUUCCAGGUGUAGGGGUGAAAUCUGUAGAUAUCUGGAAGAACACCAAUGGCGAAGGCAGGCAUCUGGCCAGGUACUGACGCUGAGACGCGAAGGUGCGGGGAGCAAACAGGUUUAGAUACCCUGGUAGUCCGCACAGUAAACGAUGUGCACCAGGUGGCGGGGGGUCGACCCUCGGUACCGUAGCUAACGCAUUAAGUGCACCGCCUGGGGAGUAUGCUCGCAAGGGUGAAACUCAAAUGAAUUGACGGGG
rnacentral:rRNA from 1 species